GCCGACCUGGGACACCUUGACUCCAAGCCCAGUAGUAAGUCCCACACGCCGCAGGGCCUCUCAGCCAUCUCUGCUGAGGAGGGAUCCUUAUUGGCAGCGAGGAUCCUUGAGACCAUCGUCAAGGACAACCUGGCUAAGGUGGGGUUGGCCUGGGACAUCCUGACUGGGAAAGCAGCCGCCGUGAAGUUCAUUGAUGAGACUCAGCAGAUCUCCUCCAGCCUCCAGACACCAUCCACAAAGUAGGAAUCAUGAAGGCUCAGAUCACCCCAACAUAGUGAAGUAUUUGCUGUGAUCGAUAGUGAGGAAUCUCUGCCUCAUCACAAAGCACGCUAGCGAGAAGUUUGUGAAUACCUGCUCACAGCAGCAGGAAAGAGGCCUGAAGCAAAUUCCACCAAAAGUGUCUGCUAUGCAAGCUGUUACCAGAAGUGCAUUGUCCACAGAUAUUGUGUAUUGUCACCAGAAAUGUAUUGUCCAUGUUAACAUGAACAUCACAGAUUGGGUUCAGGAAUAAAUUCGCCUUUCGCAACAAGCUGGAUACCUUUUGUGGCAGUCCCCUUAGGCUGCCCUGGAAUUCUUCUAGGGCCACAAAUAUGAGCUGGUGGAUGUAUGGCGUCUGCGAGUUAUCCUCUAUAUACUGGUAAAUGGAUCCUUAUUUUUCGAUGGACAGAACUUCAAGGAGCUAUAGGAGCAGGUACUGAGCAGGAUGUAUUCCAUUCCCUCCCCCAUGUCCCCGGAGAGUGAAAACUUGCUGAAGAAAUUUCUCAUUGUCAAUUGCAGGAAGAGAGGCCCUUCAGAGCACACUGUGAGGGGUCCAUGGAUGAAUGCGAGUCAUGAAGGUGAGGAACUUAAGCGCUGUGUGCAGCCACUCUCCCACUGGGAGGACCCCCUGCAAACUAAGUUCAUGGUAUCCGUGGGUUACAGACAGGAAGAGAUCCAGGACUUGCUG